AGUGAACGCUGGCGGUAGGCCUAACACAUGCAAGUCGAACGGCAGCACAGUAAGAGCUUGCUCUUACGGGUGGCGAGUGGCGGACGGGUGAGGAAUACAUCGGAAUCUACUUUUUCGUGGGGGAUAACGUAGGGAAACUUACGCUAAUACCGCAUACGACCUGCGGGUGAAGGCAGGGGAUCUUCGGACCUUGCGCGAUUGAAUGAGCCGAUGUCGGAUUAGCUAGUUGGCGGGGUAAAGGCCCACCAAGGCGACGAUCCGUAGCUGGUCUGAGAGGAUGAUCAGCCACACUGGAACUGAGACACGGUCCAGACUCCUACGGGAGGCAGCAGUGGGGAAUAUUGGACAAUGGGCGCAAGCCUGAUCCAGCCAUACCGCGUGGGUGAAGAAGGCCUUCGGGUUGUAAAGCCCUUUUGUUGGGAAAGAAAAGCAGCAGGUUAAUACCCCGCUGUUCUGACGGUACCCAAAGAAUAAGCACCGGCUAACUUCGUG
rnacentral:rRNA from 1 species